rnacentral:rRNA from 1 species
CACGUAGGCACCAAGCGUUGUCCGGAUUUAUUGGGCGUAAAGAGCUCGUAGGCGGUUCGGUAAGUCGGGUGUGAAAACUUUGGGCUCAACCCAAAGCCUGCACUCGAUACUGUCGUGACUAGAGUUCGGUAGGGGAGCGGGGAAUUCCUAGUGUAGCGGUGAAAUGCGCAGAUAUUAGGAGGAACACCGGUGGCGAAGGCGCCGCUCUGGGCCGAAACUGACGCUGAGGAGCGAAAGCGUGGGUAGCAAACAGG